GACGGGGGGGGCAAGUGUUCUUCGGAAUGACUGGGCGUAAAGGGCACCUAGGCGGUGAAUCGGGUUGAAAGUGAAAGUCGCCAAAAAGUGGCGGAAUGCUCUCGAAACCAAUUCACUUGAGUGAGACAGAGGAGAGUGGAAUUUCGUGUGUAGGGGUGAAAUCCGUAAAUAUACGAAGGAACGCCAAAAGCGAAGGCAGCUCUCUGGGUCCCUACCGACGCUGGGGUGCGAAAGCAUGGGGAGCGAACAGG
rnacentral:rRNA from 1 species